rnacentral:snoRNA from 1 species
GGGUCCGGUGAUGAGAUGACGCAUGUUGGCCGACCCCUGCUGACGACACGUCCUGCAAUUCUGAAGGGACCC